ACGGGUGAGUAAUGCUUAGGAAUCUGCCUAUUAGUGGGGGACAACAUCUCGAAAGGGAUGCUAAUACCGCAUACGUCCUACGGGAGAAAGCAGGGGACCUUCGGGCCUUGCGCUAAUAGAUGAGCCUAAGUCGGAUUAGCUAGUUGGUGGGGUAAAGGCCUACCAAGGCGACGAUCUGUAGCGGGUCUGAGAGGAUGAUCCGCCACACUGGGACUGAGACACGGCCCAGACUCCUACGGGAGGCAGCAGUGGGAAUAUUGGACAAUGGGCGAAAGCCUGAUCCAGCCAUGCCGCGUGUGUGAAGAAGGCCUUUUGGUUGUAAAGCACUUUAAGCGAGGAGGAGGCUACUUAGAUUAAUACUCUAGGAUAGUGGACGUUACUCGCAGAAUAAGCACCGGCUAACUCUGUGCCAGCAGCCGCGGUAAUACAGAGGGUGCGAGCGUUAAUCGGAUUUACUGGGCGUAAAGCGUGCGUAGGCGGCUUCUUAAGUCGGAUGUGAAAUCCCUGAGCUUAACUUAGGAAUUGCAUUCGAUACUGGGAAGCUAGAGUAUGGGAGAGGAUGGUAGAAUUCCAGGUGUAGCGGUGA
rnacentral:rRNA from 1 species